AUGAGUUGUGAUGGGGUUUGAUGCUGGCAGCCAACUUGUGUGGAUGCAUGUGCUUGCCCCCCUAACAAUCAUCUUCCAAACACCUGUGCACAUUUUUGAGGGAUAUUCGAGCUGAUUACUGCCUUUGGUGAUUUUCUUGCAUUCCCUUAAAUCGUUUAUACACCGUUAACAAUGCUGAACGUGCUUUGUGCCGCAAGGCAAGUAAUAUAAUA
rnacentral:misc_RNA from 1 species